rnacentral:rRNA from 1 species
GGGUGUGAUCAUACCAGCGUUAAUGCACCAGAUCCCAUUAGAACUUCACAAUUAAGUGCGCUUGGGCUAGAGUAGUAUUGGGAUGGGUGACCUCUCGGGAAGUCCUAGUGUUGCACCCU